GGUUAAUUGUCAUUUAUAGUGAAAAUAAUGUCAAAAUAAAUUAUUUUAAUUCACCUAUUACUCGAAAUAUAACUUUAAUUUGGACAUGUUCUUGAUAGAUUUGAAUAUUAAACAUGAAAGUGUUUGUUAACCCUUACCAAAAAGUAGUAUACUUCAAGUUUAUUUUAUUAAGUAUACUUAAGUAAAGUUCAAGUAUAUUUUGACUUUUUGUAAGUAUAAGUCAAGUAUACUUAAUUGUCAUUAUAAGUAUAUAUCUUAGAAGUACAUAAAGCCCAUUUCUGAGAAGUACAUAAAAAGUAAACUAAAAGUAUACUUUCCUAUUUUUAGUUUAAAAUAAGUAUACUAAUAGCACACUUGAAUAAACUUCUUUUUCGUAAGGGAAUCGUUACUGAGGGGUCGUGUUGUUUAACUGCUGCUGCUUCUUUACGUCCUUUUCACCUGACGCUCAGAGCGAGGCACGUCUGCGGUGCGUCCUCCUCGUCUCUCUCCUGCACACAGUGUCUGAGUGCUGCCUCGAAUCCGGCUUCAGUCUCGGAUCAGCUCUGCUGUCCAGUGUGCACUGUUACUGUUCAUCUCUGGUCAGGGCAUGAGACCAAACUAUAACCCGUCACACACGCUGGAAACUUAAACAGUUAAACAUGCGCUGAGUUACACAAACUUAUUCAGCAACUUCGUUAUAUAUUUUGGAGAUGAGUACAUGGAGUUUUUUCCCCCGUGCAUUGCCGAUGAAGUGAGUUCAUGAAGAGCAUCUUUUGUUCCUGUUCAAGGACUACAAGAACUACAUUUGUUGGCAUGAGAGGUAAAGAAUGGCUUGAAGCGAAACGAGAGAUUUGCUGAAGAAUGCACUGAAGUGGAAUUAAAUGAAGAUUUCUACUGUCUGCAUGUGUUCUGCAAUAAAAGAUGAAGACGCGGUCAGUGUAAUAGUGUUGGGCAGCUGCCAGCUGUCUGGGUCAGACACGUUUCAGACUCGAGCUGCUGUCUGGAAGAAGCCGUUUUAUGAAACUCAUGAAUGUUCGUCUGCACAGUUACCGCUUCAGCUUCUGCUGCGAUAGUAAGAAAAGAAACACAUGCAAAACCAGCUGACACACAGGAUAUAUCUGCUGGAACUGGACGACUCUUCUCCUGGAGCUUCUAGAGAAAAGCCGGCGUUUGAUUUGAUGUUCAUCCGGUGAGUUACUUCUGGAGCUGCUUUUACUGUCACAUUGAGUCUAGCAACGGUACUGUAAUACAGUCCUGCUUCGCAGAUAGAUAGAUAGAUAGAUAGAUAGAUAGAUAGAUGAAAUGAAGACUUUCCAUUGUAUUGACUGUUGCUUUUGAAUUGAUACAGUCUUGCUUGCGCUUAUUAUUGUGGCUCUAUGAAUACAUAGACAGACAGUUAUAUAGCCUCAUGUUGCUCCAAAACUGUAUGACUUUCUUCUGUGGAAGUAAAAGAUUAUGUUUUGUGAAACUCUUUUUUUUUUUUUCUUUUUUUUUUUGUACAUACAAUGGAAGUUAGUUGACACCAAAACUGUUUGGUCACCGGUUUUCUUCAAAAUAUCUUCUUUUCAGAAAUGCAUAUAGGUGGGUUAGUAAAUGAUGACAGAAGUGUGAUUUUUGGGUGAACUAUUCCUUUAGUCCACACUUAAAAAUGUAUGAAUGCAUUGCAGCAUGUAAUAUCAAACCAAGGGUUACACUUUAUUUUAAGGUGUCCUUGUUACAGUGUAAUUAUAUAUUUAAGUACUGAGUAAUAUUAGUUAACUACAUGUGCUUACUAUAUGGUUAGGGUAAGGAUUUGGUUUGGCUUAGGGUUACUUGCAUGUAAUUAUGCAUAAUUAAUUGUUAUUAUAAUAGUAAGUACAUGUAACGUGUAACAAGGACACCUUAAAAUAAAGUGUUACCAAACCAAGUGUCA
ensembl:lncRNA